AAGCAUCCCUUUGCAUUGGAAUGCAAUCGAAUGCAUUGGCAAUCGAGUUCUCUUUUUCUCCGUGUACGGCUGUUCGCACAUGUGAAUGUGGGUGUUUCCCGAGGACACCCUUUUGUACCCUAUCCCGUCUGGUGGUGUGAUUUAACUCUUCAGCCGAUGCUGGAUGGAGCAACUGUAGAUGCCUGGCUGUAUUUCCCAUGCAAAAAGAUUUGAUGCCAGACCCAGCCAUCAUAACCAAACAAUAUGCAAGUUUUUCAUGUGCAAGUGUUUACCUGUCUCAGCAACAAUCUCCGGAUCAUCCCUUGGAUAAAAAGCAUCCCAUUGCAUUGGAAAACUACUCACGUCAAUCGAGUUUCGGAUCUCCCUUUUUCCCCUUUCUUGAAAUGCCCUCGUGUACGCCUAUGUGAAUGUAGGUGUAUUCACGAGGACACCCUUUUUACCCUAUCCCGUCACCUGCCAUUUAACUCUUCAGAGGAUGGAUGGAGCACUUGUGGAAUGCCUGGCUGUAUUCCCAGGC